rnacentral:rRNA from 1 species
UAACACAUGCAAGUCGAACGAUGAUCCCAGCUUGCUGGGGGAUUAGUGGCGAACGGGUGAGUAACACGUGAGUAACCUGCCCUUGACUCUGGGAUAAGCCUGGGAAACUGGGUCUAAUACCGGAUAUGACCGUCUGACGCAUGUCAGGUGGUGGAAAGCUUUUGUGGUUUUGGAUGGACUCGCGGCCUAUCAGCUUGUUGGUGGGGUAAUGGCCUACCAAGGCGACGACCGGUAACGGGCCUGAGAGGGUGACCGGCCACACUGGGACUGGAACACGGCCCAGACUCCUACGGGAGGCAGCAGUGGGGAAUAUUGCACAAUGGGCGCCA